AGUGAACGCUGGCGGUAGGCCUAACACAUGCAAGUCGAACGGCAGCACAGUAAGAGCUUGCUCUUACGGGUGGCGAGUGGCGGACGGGUGAGGAAUACAUCGGAAUCUACUUUUUCGGGGGGGAUAACGUAGGGAAACUUACGCUAAUACCGCAUACGACCUACGGGUGAAAGCAGGGGAUCUUCGGACCUUGCGCGAUUGAAUGAGCCGAUGUCGGAUUAGCUAGUUGGCGGGGUAAAGGCCCACCAAGGCGACGAUCCGUAGCUCGUCUGAGAGGAUGGUCAGCCACACUGGAACUGAGACACGGUCCAGACUCCUACGGGACGCAGCAGUGGGGAAUAUUGGACAAUGGGCGCAAGCCUGACCCAGCCAGACCGCGUGGGUGAAGAAGGCCUUGGGGUUGUAAAGCCCUUUUGUUGGGAAAGAAAAGCAGCAGGUUAAUACCCCGCUGUUCUGACGGUACCCAAAGAAUAAGCACCGGCUAACUUCGUG
rnacentral:rRNA from 1 species